rnacentral:tRNA from 1 species
GGUUUAGCUAAGUGGCAUAAGCACCUGCCUUGAAAGCAGGCAGUCGUGAGUUCGAUCCCCGGUACCA